rnacentral:lncRNA from 1 species
CUGGGAGGUGUAAUGUACCUAUUGAUCUGUGAAGUGAUGGAGAACGACACUCUCUGGACUGUAGAGAAAGGCUAUCAUUAAGAUACACUACAAUAUGUAUUUGUCUGGCUGGCUUUGAUUCCAAGGAAAUCCACAUUUACACAAUCAUUGUAUAUAAUUUGCCACAUGCGAAUCAUGUGUAAAUAACGUGAGGCAGAUCGGUUGUGGUUUCUGUUGAUUUCUGUUUACGUCUGUCGUGUUCAUUUAACCAACAUGCUGACUGUAGGGCAUAGUUAAGAUCUCAUUUAGAGAAGAAGGUUGACAUUUCCUAACGGAACGAGCAUCACAUCACCACAAAUCUCCCGGUAAUCUGCGGGUUCAGACGGAAGGUUGUGACGGAAUGUUCGAGAAGGAUCCGGAACAGGAGAAGAGAUCCACGUCCGCCGAAUACAACAGGUGUAGAACUUACAGGGAAAUGCUUACCUACAAGCCAAUUAACCAACAAUGCAGUUUUAAGAAAAAUACCUAACCUAACAAAAUAAUAAAUAAAAGUAACAAAUAAUACAAGAGCAGCAGUAAAAUAACAAAAGCGAGGCUAUGGGUGUUAUUAUGGUGUUAUUAUGAGCAGUGUUUACUGUCUGAGUGGUGUUAUUAUGAGGAGUGUUUACUGUCUGAGUGGUGUUAUUAUGAGGAGGUGAGGAGUGUUUACUGUCUGAGUGGUGUUAUUAUGAGGAGGUGAGGAGUGUUUACUGUCUGAGUGGUGUUAUUAUGAGGAGGUGAGGAGUGUUUACAGUCUGAGUGGUGUUAUUAUGAGGAGUGUUUACUGUCUGAGUGGUGUUAUUAUGAGGAGGUGAGGAGUGUUUACUGUCUGAGUGGUGUUAUUAUGAGGAGGUGAGGAGUGUUUACUGUCUGAGUGGUGUUAUUAUGAGGAGGUGAGGAGUGUUUACUGUCUGAGUGGUGUUAUUAUGAGGAGGUGAGGAGUGUUUACAGUCUGAGUGGUGUUAUUAUGAGGAGGUGAGGAGUGUUUACUGUCUGAGUGGUGUUAUUAUGAGGAGUGUUUACAGUCUGAGUGGUGUUAUUAUGAGGAGGUGAGGAGUGUUUACUGUCUGAGUGGUGUUAUUAUGAGGAGUGUUUACAGUCUGAGUGGUGUUAUUAUGAGGAGGUGAGGAGUGUUUACUGUCUGAGUGGUGUUAUUAUGAGGAGUGUUUACAGUCUGAGUGGUGUUAUUAUGAGGAGGUGAGGAGUGUUUACUGUCUGAGUGGUGUUAUUAUGAGGAGGUGAGGAGUGUUUACUGUCUGAGUGGUGUUAUUAUGAGGAGGUGAGGAGUGUUUACUGUCUGAGUGGUGCUUCCAACACUUUUUAAACAUUGUAUUUUUGAGCUACAGACUCACUUUUCCAUUGGAUUCAUCUAUUUCUUCUGCAUCCCAGUCACCAAACAUUAGCCUGUGUGAUUAACGGUGGCUGAAGUGAAGACAGAACGGUUCCAGGUCCAAACUAUUAAUCCCAGCUGUGAACUGCUCUAUGGUUCUCACAAGCCACAGUAGAGUCAUUAGAAGGUCAAAGGUUAUUCUACAUAGAGGAUCAUGGGAGAUCAAGCCACAGUAGAGUCAUUAGAAGGUCAAAGGUUAUUCUCAUGGGAGAUCAAGCCACAGUAGAGUCAUUAGAAGGUCAAAGGUUAUUCUACAUAGAGGAUCAUGGGAGAUCAAGCCACAGUAGAGUCAUUAGAAGGUCAAAGGUUAUUCUCAUGGGAGAUCAAGCCACAGUAGAGUCAUUAGAAGGUCAAAGGUUAUUCUCAUGGGAGAUCAAGCCACAGUAGAGUCAUUAGGAGAUCCCAGGUCAUAGUGUCUAUAAUACUGUAAUAAGCUCACAUAGUUGCUAUUACAAACUCCAAACAGUGGUCACUGACAAGUUG